rnacentral:rRNA from 1 species
UACGAGGGGUGCAAGCGUUGUUCGGAAUUAUUGGGCGUAAAGGGCGCGUAGGCGGUGCGGUAAGUCACCUGUCGAAAUCCUCCCGGCUUAACUGGGAGCCUGCAGGCGAAACUGCCGUGCUUGAGUAUGGGAGAGGUGCGUGGAAUUCCGGUGUAGCGGUGAAUGCGUAGAUAAUCGGGAGGAACACCUGUGGCGAAAGCGGCGCACUGGACCAUAACUGACGCUGGAGGCGACGAAAGCUAGGGGAGCAAACAGG